GGUGGCUCAGUGGGUAGAGUGCUUGCCUUGCAUGCAUGAGGCCCUGGGUUCGAUUCCUCAGCACCA
rfam:Dipodomys ordii contig_76580, whole genome shotgun sequence.